rnacentral:rRNA from 1 species
AGGGCACCACCAGGAGUGGAGCCUGCGGCUUAAUUUGACUCAACACGGGAAAACUUACCCGGCCCGGACACUGGAAGGAUUGACAGAUUGAGAGCUCUUUCUUGAUUCAGUGGGUGGUGGUGCAUGGCCGUUCUUAGUUGGUGGAGCGAUUUGUCUGGUUAAUUCCGAUAACGAACGAGACUCUAGCCUACUAAAUAGACUACCGUUCCUUUGUGACGGUAGGACUUCUUAGAGGGACAGGCGGCGACUCAGCCGCACGAAACAGAGCAAUAACAGGUCUGUGAUGCCCUUAGAUGUCCGGGGCCGCACGCGCGCUACACUGAAGUGAUCAGCGUGCAUUAAUAACCCUCUCUGUCAAGAGUGGGUAACCCAUUGAACCUUCUUCGUGAUUGGGAUAGGGUAUUGUAAUUCUUACCCUUGAACGAGGAAUUCCCACUAAGCGCGAGUCAUAAGCUUGCGAUUAUUACGUCAUUGCGGAUUGAAUGCCACGCCGAUCACGUCUACGGAUUGUGUGAUUCA